CCUUGACCUCUGCCAAGGACAUUAUAUGACAUUUGACACUUAAGCAAGACAUCUCACAAGUGCAGACAUACCCCCAAAAUGUUUUCCGUUUCAGAGGAAAAUACAACUGCAGUUCAGAAAAGACAUUUGUUCAUCCCCCAAAACUAGGUAUGUUAACUCAUCUUGUAGCCUAGUUGUAGUUUCUGUGCAGUAGGUAAACUGCUGUAUAUCUGCAAUUUGUACUGAACUUUCUCUUUAGUAUAAUUGCUAGUUUUGUUAAAAUAAAAAAAAAAACAUGUUACCACCCAGUAUUGUACCAUAACCUCUACGUUUUGUAAGGUUUCUGACCUUUUGAGAGGAGCCCUAAACUAAGGUGUUAUAUAACCCCCUGCACCCUGCUUGUGGCUCAGUGUUGAGCUAUGAAGAUGAGGUCACUGCUGCUUGUCUGCCUGAUUGUGGUCACACUGACUGUGGCUAUUGCUGCCCCCAAGCAAGAGGGGUCUGAAACGGGCAAAGGAAAAAAGGAACUCGAGAGCGGAUGUCAGCGAGCUACUGACCUCUGGAGGACAAAGGCCAGCCCUGCAGGUGUCCGCUUUUGAGCUCACAGGGCGCCUGGCCAGCAGGGUUCACUGUAGCGCAAUGAGGAGAAACAGUCCCUUUUGUUUUUGCUUCCCUAACCCACGGGAGUGCCAGAGCCAAUGUUACGCUCCCUUUGGAAUUCACAGCGAAGACCGACAACUUUGCACAGCCAGGACGCGAACCUGUGCUGUAUGACCACACAACCACGCUUUUACCAGGUGAGCCACUCGAGGACCCCCUGAUAGUGUUUUUGAGGUUAAGAUUCAUUUAAAAGUUAUAACUAGCUCUUUAUUUUAUAUAUAUAUAUAUAUAUAUAUAUAUAUAUAUAUAUAUAUAUAUAUAUAUAUAUUGCACCAGGAUGACUGAACAAAAGGAAAAGUGAAACGAAGAAACUGUAAAAAAUGACGACUGGACACCAACCACUAAAAGCUGGUAAUUUUAAACUUUAAAGAGAUAGUUUAUACCCUCUAAGCGGGCAAUUUCUAAUCUCUUUAUUCAUGCCACUGUCUGGUGCUCCAAGGGAGACUACAGUUGGAAUUUUAUACCAGCUCUGUUAUCCCCAGCUGGGGAUGAAAUCCAUUGCGAAGGGGAUGAAGUGGAGGUGGCUGUACACACACACACACAAUUUGUUACAAACUGUUUAUCCAAUUGACAGGAAACUUAGCAUCAACAUUAUAGAGUAUACAUUAAUGAUAAUAUACAAGAUUGUGAAUGUCACACAGUUUUACAUACAUCUGGAUAAUCCCUCAUCAGACUGUGAUUAAACAUUUCAUUGCUAAUUCUUAUUCUAUCCUGUACAUACUGUUGAUAUGUCAUGUUCAUCGUUUAGAGUUUACGUGGCAGGAGAUGUAUAUGUAUUGUAAAAGAUCUUCACCCACUCGGGUUCGUUGCCCCUUUAAAAAUAGACCCGGCACACAGAAAUGGAUUUUAAGCGCUGGUGCGCUAUUUUUAAUCAACACAAAAAUUAAACAAAACACACAAAAUAAACACCUAGCUCGGUACGAGCACUAACUAACACACAGGAACACCCUGGCUAACACGGGACAGCUACACUGUUUCCCCGUCCUUACAAAACACACUGGUUUUAUACAGCACUUACUUUUUAGCUCAUGACUGCCAGGAAGCAGAGCACACCUUUCUGCCUCCUUCUCCUCAGCAGCCUUGAGCAGACUAGCUGCCUCUCUUAAAUACCCUGCACCUGGUUUUAAUUUAACAAUAGCUACCAGGUGCAGGGGAUAAUUAAUAAUAAAACAAUUAACAAAUCAAAGAAACAAUCAACCAAAACAAUUAAACUAAACAAAUGUGCAUUCCACACAUGUUUUCCACUCAUGGAGGCUUUAACCCCCUCCCUGCUGUGUUACAGUAUACAUAAGCAUAGGCAAAUUGUAAGCAUGGCAAAUUCUUUGUUGAGAUUUAGUAAUGUCUUUCUCAAAGAGACCCAAGUGUAAAUGUUUGUCGUAAGCACCAUGGAUAAUAGCAUUUACAUAAUGUCCCGUGACAAGAAAUUACAUCUAAAAUACAAAUGUAUUUUUUUCAGAUUUGUAAAAAAAGACCUGCUUCUCCUGGUGUUGUAUCCUUGCUGGAUGGAGAUGGUGAAGAUGCUGGAGGCGGCUAAGCCAGCACAGUAUGGGGUAGAUUUGACAAGGGACAAGAAAAGAAGGCCACCUCCCCUCCAGACAUUCCGAUCAGAGAAAAGAGACAAUUCGAAGCCAACCCAAAGAGACGUCCAAGACCUUGUCUGGGCUGCCUAUCUGUAAUAUCAGCUAAAAAGGAGGCUCCUGUAACACAUACAGCUGAUCCUGUCCUAAUGUGAAGGUGGAUCCAACAAGUGACGUCGUGAUCCUGCCAGUCGAAGUGCAGAAAAAUCACAGUCAAAUGCAUGUUGGCCUGAUAACCAAAUAUUGUUCUUUUUUUUUUUUUUUUUUUUUUUAAUCCUGCGCUAGUAAAUCAUGUAUCUGUGUCAGGAUAGCAUAUACAGCAUGCUCAUGCCUAAGUAAACAAACAUUUUAAGAACAUAAGAAAGUUUACAAACGAGAGGAGGCCAUUCGGCCCAUCUUGCUCUUUUGGUUGUUAGUAGCUUAUUGAUCCCAGAAUCUCAUCAAGCAGCUUCUUGAAGGAUCCCAGGGUGUCGGCUUCAACAACAUUACUGGGGAGCGGGUUCCAGACCCUCACAAUUCUCUGUGUAGAAAAGUGCCUCCUAUUUUCUGUUCUGAAUGCCCCUUUAUCUAAUCUCCAUUUGUGACUCCUGGUCCUUGUCGAAAAAGUCCCCUGGGUCGA